rnacentral:sRNA from 1 species
UUGAUUCUCAGCGGCUGAAGGACUGAGUUCCCCAGAGAUGGACCCGGGUGUCAUAGCUGCUUCCAGGGGCCUCAGGGACACAGGCGGGACUCCAGUGUGCAGGAGGAGACACACGUCAGGGGUGGGUGUGUGACUUCCACGCUGCUGACAGUGACCCAAGGAUGCAGUUCAGGGUCAGAUGCCGUUAGAUCAACCACUUCAAUGUAUUAUAAAACUAUUAUGAAAACUACUUUUGCUACCCAGGAAGGUAGUUGAGUUCACUUAGAAUUCCUAAGUCAGCUAGGCUGUUUAUCUGAAAGUGGUUACUUGUCCCUGACCAUCUGGAAUGGCUCAAAUGAACUCCUGCAGACCACGGAGCUCAUCUUUGGGAACCCAGUCUCUCUUUUUGGGGAAGUGAGCCCCUUCCUUGGGAACCCCUGAGGGCAGGCAUGGCCCCUGUGGAUGGUGGGAGGAUGCCCCACCCUGAGGACCCCAGAGGCUCCUGUGGCCCCUUCCUGGGACUGCUGGGGCCCGUGUGUGUCAGUGUUCACCCCAAGGCCCCCUUUCAGCUGAGCUGGACGCCGAGUGCCUUCAGGCCUCAUCCUGACCUCCACCAUCCCAUAGUCAGUGAGGCUGUGGCAUCUCCCUCCUCGACUGUCUUGCCCUCUUGGUUUUUGUAUCAGCGUUUUCCAGCCUGAUUGCUGCUGAAGCUUCGUUUCUUGUCUUUUUCUUUUUGAGACAGUCUUGCUCUGUUGACCAGGCUGGAGUGCAGUGGCAUGAUCUUGGCUCACUGCAACCUCAGCCUCCCAAUUAGCUGGGAUUGCAGGCAUGUGCCACUAUGUCCGUCUAAUUUUUGUAUUUUUAGUAGCGACGGGGUUUCACCGUGUUAGCCAGGAUGGUCUCGGUCUCCUGACCUCGUGAUCCGCCCACCUCGGCCUCCCAAAGUGCCGGGAUUACAGGCGUAAGCCACUGCGCCCGGCCUGGAGCUUCCUUUCUUUGGGUUUUCCGAUGUUCUUGACUCUGUUGUAGCUGAGCUAGACUGGGGACUGGGUUUCCGGGUUUGCUUUGUCUCUCCUGAAGGGCUGAGGUUCCAGUGCCAGCAUGCACUGCACAGGGAGCAGAGGGAGGAAGGAGGAUCCCACUGCGGAGACACAGUGACUGAGGCCAAGGGCAGCUUGGGCCGGGCCAGCAGUGAGGGGAGACGUCUGGGUAGAAGGUGUCAUGCUAGGCGGGGGCGGGGGGUGACCUGUGGGCCUUGGGUCUUUUUGCAGAGUUGGGGGACAGCGAGGAGCAAACACCUGCCAUCGCCCACUUUGUUUUCUGUGGGACCUCCUAGGACAGUGAGGCCCCUGCCUCACCAGGGCAUGGCCCACUCCGCUGUCCAGGCCUUCGUCCCGGCUGCCUCUGCUGUGGGGCAGGGAAGGGGCUGGGUGUCCAGGACACAGGCGCUUCCAGGCUUCAUACACAGAUGCCUUUUCUCUGACUUCCUUAACUCCCAUGUGUAGCUAUACACAGAAUGGGAUUUUACAUAUGCUGGACAGAAAUAAGAGAAUCAAGCCCCGGCCAGAAAGAUUCCAGAACUGCAAAGACCUGUUUGAUCUGAUCCUCACUUGCGAAGAGAGAGUGUAUGACCAGGUGGUGGAAGAUCUGAAUUCCAGAGAACAGGAGACCUGCCAGCCCGUGCACGUGGUCAAUGUGGACAUCCAGGACAACCACGAGGAGGCCACCCUGGGGGCGUUUCUCAUCUGUGAGCUCUGCCAGUGUAUCCAGCACACGGAAGACAUGGAGAACGAGAUCGACGAGCUGCUGCAGGAGUUCGAGGAGAAGAGUGGCCGCACCUUUCUGCACACCGUCUGCUUCUACUGAGCCCAGCGCCUGCAUGGAGCCGCCUCUGGAGCUUCCUGUUGUUCAUACUUUCUCCUUCCUGACAUUUGUUUUUACUUACAGGUGUUCUGCUGGUGACGGUAGCAUUACCCAAAUAAACUGUGCAUAUGAAAUGGGAGAGGAGAUGCCAAAAUGCCAGAUGAAAGCAAUCAAGUUUCUUCUUUUCCACUUUUACUUAUGAGCGGGAUAUUGAUUACAAAGUUUUUCUUCUUUAACCAAAAAGGAAAGACAACGGUUUGUGUGCACUUCCCGACAUACCUGUGUCUUCGUGUGCCUGCCUUCCCUCCCUCCUCCCCACCCGGCCGGACUGUACAGAGCCCUGCUGCGGCGUGUUAGGAAUGACCUGGAAUUGUCAAUAAACAGAUGCUGCUGUC